GAGUUUGGGAUCUGGCUCAGAUUGAACGCUGGCGGCAUGCCUUACACAUGCAAGUCGAACGGUAACAGGUUAAGCUGACGAGUGGCGAACGGGUGAGUAAUGUAUCGGAACGUGCCCAGUCGUGGGGGAUAACUGCUCGAAAGAGCAGCUAAUACCGCAUACGACCUGAGAGUGAAAGCGGGGGAUCGCAAGACCUCGCGCGAUUGGAGCGGCCGAUAUCAGAUUAGGUAGUUGGUGAGGUAAAGGCUCACCAAGCCGACGAUCUGUAGCUGGUCUGAGAGGACGACCAGCCACACUGGGACUGAGACACGGCCCAGACUCCUACGGGAGGCAGCAGUGGGGAAUUUUGGACAAUGGGCGCAAGCCUGAUCCAGCCAUGCCGCGUGCGGGAAGAAGGCCUUCGGGUUGUAAACCGCUUUUGUCAGGGAAGAAAAGGUUCUGGCUAAUACCUGGGACUCAUGACGGUACCUGAAGAAUAAGCACCGGCUAACUAC
rnacentral:rRNA from 1 species